CCUUGCACACUAAUUUAUUUCGUCCCGGAAGGGAAUCUCGUGCUUAAGGCAGAUUAAUCAUGCAGCCUGUAAUUACCGGCACCUACUAACCAUGUGGUGUUCUGGGAGUAUAGGAGUAGUAUAUAUUUGGAAGCAUCAAUUGGUCCUUUCCUCUUUUUGAUUGUUUUUCUUUUUCUUUGCUAGUUAAUGAGCAUUUGCAUCUGAAUCACGUAAGCUUGCUGAGGUAGACACAGCCGAAAAUUCAGUUGCUGUGUGCAUGUAUCAUACUUGCUGCCUAUUUCUUCUACUGCUACCUUUAUAUAUAUGGUACUGUGCCUUUGGUUGUCACUGCGCGUUGGAUGCCGUCCGCGUGGGUGCUGGAAAAGGUACUGGUAGCAUCACAUCACUAAGCAACCGAGUAACUUCCUUCAGCAUUAAUUAAUCACCGUUCUGUGCAUAUGGUAGAUUGUUAAUGCACUUACUAUCCGGAGCGUAGUAGCAGUAGUAGUAUAUAUUCGAGGCAUCAACUGAUUAUUUCCUAAUGGAUGUUCAUUUUGCAUCUGAAUCACCUACUGAAUGUAGUAUCUUCCCGUGGAUUCGUUUCAGAUGGACCGCGGAAUUCGUAAAGCGAGCGGUGUGUGUCAUGAACUCUGCUUCCUUGGCUUCCAAGUUCGUUUCUUCUGUGGGAUUGCACCUUUUCGGCAGGGAAGAAGAUACAGAGAUACUCCUGUGUGCGGCGCAAGUUUCCUGGAAUGCAGCUGACGCGCACGGACCAAGACCCGUCCACGUCGUGCAACUGAAACAACAGGUGCCAAAUCGAUGACUCCAGUGGCUGGAUGGAUGGCUACUGGUGUCUGGAGAAAGUGAUGAUGAGAUUGCGUUACCAUGGUGUCGACCGUCCAGGAGCUCGACAAGAUCAUGGAGGGCAACAUCAGUGUCAUCGCUCCUCAUCAGAACCUCGGCAACCUCUGCAGGCGUCACCGAGACCUCCUCGAUCAACGCCUCGAUCUCAGGAUAAGUG